rnacentral:rRNA from 1 species
AACGCUGGCGGCAUGCCUAACACAUGCAAGUCGAACGAAGCCUUCGGGCUUUAGUGGCGCACGGGUGCGUAACGCGUGGGAACCUACCAUCAGGUUCGGAAUAACAGUUAGAAAUGACUGCUAAUACCGGAUAAUGUCUUCGGACCAAAGAUUUAUCGCCUUUUGAUGGGCCCGCGUAAGAUUAGGUAGUUGGUGGGGUAAAGGCCUACCAAGCCGACGAUCUUUAGCUGGUCUGAGAGGAUGAUCAGCCACACUGGGACUGAGACACGGCCCAGACUCCUACGGGAGGCAGCAGUGGGGAAUAUUGGACAAUGGGCGAAAGCCUGAUCCAGCAAUGCCGCGUGAGUGAUGAAGGCCUUAGGGUUGUAAAGCUCUUUACUGGGGAUGAUAAUGACAGUACCCAGAGAAUAAGCUCCGGCUAACUCCGUG